UAAUGUCUAAAAUGACAAUUUUCCAUUGC
rnacentral:piRNA from 1 species